CCAGGUAGUAAUCACUUAUCAUUAAUCACUUUAUAUCAUUGCAUGUAGGUGGACAUUUCGUUGUAUAAAUUAAACACAUACGACAGUAUGGCCCUACUGAAUGUUUUGGAUGGGCCGGCCCAACACCGGACACAUUUUAGGAUGAGUCAGUUACGCCCUUAGCUACGUGCGUGCACUUGUGAUAACUUGUACAGUACGUAUACAUUCAAUGUAAGUUAUUAAUACUGGGCAUCGCAUUGGUAUUAGUACAGUAGGUACAGACAUUUUUGCGCGAAGCUGCAGAAAACAUGAUGUUGUCAUUAUACGAACCUAUGCGUACACAUUCCACAGAACGAAAAUCAUAAUCCGUACUAUUAUUAAAUUUAUUUCGAGUUUAAUAUCGAGCCGAGCGCCACUGG